rnacentral:rRNA from 1 species
UACAGAGGGGGCAAGCGUUGUUCGGAAUUACUGGGCGUAAAGGGCGCGUAGGCGGUCUGUUAAGUUCGGUGUGAAAGCCCCCGGCUCACCUGGGGAACUGCGCCGGAAACCGACAGACUCGAGUACCGGAGAGGAGGGUGGAAUUCCUGGUGUAGAGGUGAAAUUCGUAGAUAUUGGGAAGAACACCGAUGGCGAAGGCAGCCAUCUGGACCGACACUGACGCUGAGGCGCGAAAGCGUGGGGAGCAAACAGG